CGAUCAGAGCUGGGUAUUAGUCUGUUUGUGUAUCUGUUUGUCUCAUCUACUAGGGCAGGGGCUUUUUCUGGAAGGGCCGGAGAAUAAAUAUUUUUGGCUUUGUAAGCCAGAGGUCAUCUCUGUCCAGACCACUCUGCUUUGCCGUUGUAGCAAGAAAGCUCCCGUGGGCGAGUGUGCCUGUGUUUCAGUAAAACUUUAUUUAUGGACACAAACGUGAAUUCCGUGCAAUUUUUACAUUAUAAGACAUUUUUCUUCUUUUGCUUUUUUUUUCCUCC
rnacentral:lncRNA from 1 species